GGACUACCAGGGUAUCUAAUCCCGUUCGCUCCCCUGGCUUUCGCACAUGAGCGUCAGUCACUUCCCAGGAGACUGCCUACGCCUUUGGUGUUCCUCCGGAUAUCUACGCAUUUCACCACUACACCCGGAAUUCCGUCUCCCUCUGAAGCCCUCAAGUCGACCAGUUUUCAAAGGCCUUGCUCAGUUAAGCCGAGCACUGUCACUCCAAACUUGAUCGACCGCCUGCGUGCCCUUUACGCCCAGUAACUCCGGACAACGCUCGCCCCCUACGUAUUACCGCGGCUGCUGGCAC
rnacentral:rRNA from 1 species